rnacentral:rRNA from 1 species
UACGAAGGGGGCUAGCGUUGCUCGGAAUCACUGGGCGUAAAGCGCACGUAGGCGGAUUGUUAAGUCAGGGGGUGAAAUCCUGGAGCUCAACUCCAGAACUGCCUUUGAUACUGGCGAUCUUGAGUCCGGGAGAGGUGAGUGGAACUGCGAGUGUAGAGGUGAAAUUCGUAGAUAUUCGGCAAGAACACCAGUGGCGAAGGCGGCUCACUGGCCCGGUACUGACGCUGAGGUGCGAAAG